rnacentral:rRNA from 1 species
CAGUAGCCGCGGGAAAACGAACCGAGCGAACGUUGUUCGGAAUCACUGGGCUUAAAGGGCGCGUAGGCGGGCUGUCAAGUUCGGGGUGAAAUCCCGCGGCUCAACCUUGGAACUGCCUUUGAUACUGUUAGUCUUGAGUUCGAGAGAGGUGAGUGGAACUGCGAGUGUAGAGGUGAAAUUCGUAGAUAUUCGCAAGAACACCAGUGGCGAAGGCGGCUCACUGGCUCGGAACUGACGCUGAGGCACGAAAGCGUGGGGAGCAAACAGGAUUAGAUACCCCAGUAGUCCCUGUCUCUUAUAA